UUGCAAUUCUAAUACCCGGUAAUGAAACUGUGGGAGUAGCUCAGAGAAUGCUGCUCUGAACGGUUAUUGCCAUUUUGUUUCUGUGUAUCGAACCAACAUUAGCAACAUUGAGGACUGUGCAAACUUUGUGGGUGAGACAGAUCUAUCUGCCUCCCUGCUAUUACGAGAAUUACACCUUUAACUCUCAUAACUUGAACACAGGGCACAGCAUAGAGGGUGUUACUGUAAGAAAACAUCAAGGGGAAUGUGAUUUAUGAAUAAUCUACAAUGCUUCUGUGGACUCUCUUCAUCUGUCUCACUGAAGUGUUUUUACUCUAAUCUUACUUGUAU